rnacentral:tRNA from 1 species
UCCGAUAUGGUGUAGUGGCUAACAUCGCUCGCUCUCAUGAAGGUCCGAGCAGCCCUGGGUUCGAUUCCCAGUAUCGGAG